rnacentral:lncRNA from 1 species
AAUUGUUAAUUGCAUGCUAUAGAUGUUAUUCAAAUGAACAUGUUUUCACAAAAUCAUCCUUCACUAUAUAGUCAUAUUAGGUCUUAGGAUGAUUAUGAACCGUUUGAUUUGAUCCAACACGAGCCUUGUGUUGGACCUUGGGUUUAAGGUAGAUAGUUGUUGAUUUUAAUUACGCGUUUAAUCUAAUUAAACCGUUUUUUCCUAUUGGGCGUUGGACCCAACUAUUCCAAUUUGCAUACAUAUAAACAAAAAGGAAUACAUGAAAUAAAGAGAAGGGCUUAUGCCCUUUUACAACAAAUUAGAAGGACUUGUGUCCUUUUACAACAAAUUUGAACUAAUCAAAUUACAUUCAAAUCUAAACUACUUAACCCAAACAUUCAUAAUGUAAAGCGGCCAAUCACAUAGCUCAAUUAUCGAGGCCUUUGGUUCAUAAUCACCAUUUUCUUAAUCAAUCAAAUUAACUAAGAAAGCAACUUAAACAAUUGGUUUUCGGAUUCAUAGAAUUGAUUUAAAUGGAACUAAAUGAAAUGAAAAUCCAAUUCUCAUUAAAGAGACAAAACCAUUUUGUUCUCAUCUUAUUUGGGCCGAAAAACAAUGACCUCAACUAUUAGGCCAUAAGGUUAAAACAUAAACUUUUGGGGUCACUUUGUAAAAACACAAGAGUCCACAACUUCAUGUAAUUACAACUAGAACCCAAAAUUUUCAACAAUAGCAAAAACUUCAUUAAAGGAGCAAAACAAUUUGUCCUUUAGUGUUUUUGGGCCUUAACGUAAAAACGUAAACUUUUGGACCAAAGUACAAAUACACAAAAGUAUCAAAACUUUAUGUAAUUGCAUAAAAGGCCCCAAAAGUACCCCCACUAAGGGGUGGCCGGUUUUGGUAGUGAAAAAAGAGGGGGGGGAAGGUUUUGGUGAAAAAUUCAAAAUUUGAAAAAGUUUUGUGCAAGUGGAUAGGUAGGUGAGGAAAAGGUGAUUGGUAUAGGUUGUAAGAAAAUGUUUUGUCUAACAUUAAAGACAUAAAUCAUCCAUCACCAAUCAUCCAUCACCAAUUAAUUAUAAACCAAAACUUUAUGAAAAACACCAAACAUUUUGAAUCAAAACUCCAAACCUUUUUGUUCUUGGUAAGAAACUCAAGAACAUUGAAGAACACACAUGAAAAUUCAUAAGAGCUCCAUGAAUGUUUCACACAAUAAAACUCAAAUUUUCACUACACAAAAGAGGGUUAACAUCCUAGGGUACUUAGGGGGUUCCAAAAGUCACUUUAAAACCUUUUAACAAGACAAACAUGAACCCAAAAAUCCACCCUUUGGAUUUGGCCGAAUUUCCCAACAUACAUGGCACCAAAUUUUAGUUCCAAUAUUCAUGCUUAAAUGAACUACAUCUACAACAUUUGAGAUGCUAAAUUUUCAAGCAAAAUUUAUAUUCAAAAGCAAGAACAAAGCUUGUAACAUUUACAACAUUUAAAUCACAAACCAUGAAAAACACAAAACCCAAAAGGAUUCACCAUAAACUAGACCUAGGCACUUGAUACCACUUGAAGGAAAAAUUUUGGCCUAGCUAAGAACAUGUGAGAAUAUUUGAACACAUAUGCAAACUAUUAACACAUUAAAGUAGGCAUGCAUUCAAAACAAUUCUAAAACCCAUGACUUUCAAAGCCUAGUGAAUGGUGAACCAUGAGACUUGAUAGGAGCAUAUUUAUGCGACUUAGUUAGCUUGUUCUUGUGCAUUUGUAUUGUUAUUUCUUAGUUAAUUAUGUAUUUUAAGCUAUUUUCGUGUGUUUGUAGGUCAUAAUAACAAAGUUGGCAAGAAAGUGCAUUUUGGAGCAUUUUUGAGCAUUUUUGAGCCAAUAUUGGAUAGUGCAAGCAUGGAGACAUGAGGAUGGACAUUUUUGAAGAUUUGAAGGCUAGAAAUCAGCAUGUGUGUGUGCAAGUGUGUUGACCUACAACUCCAAACAUCCCUCCACUACACCCAUUACAUCCACUCAUUACCAAACACGCAUCCACUACACCCAUUACAUCCACUCAUUACCAUCCACUCAUUACCAAACAUCCACCCACUACACCCAUUACAUCCACUCAUUACCACAACACUCACCCACUACACCCAUCACAUCCACUCAUUACCACAACAGUCACCCACUACACCCAUUACAUCCACUCAUUACAACUCCAUACACUCCUCUCCCUAGCCUAUAAAUACAUCCACCCUUCACCAUAAUUUGGGGGCUAUCAUCCAAAGACACCACAUCAUCUACACAACUCUCCACCCUUCACCAUAACUCACCUAUAUCCAUCCACCACCACAAGAGAUCAUCCAUUCACCACUCACACCUUGGUGCCGCAUAUUUGCAAGGAAGGAUGAUUGCUUGGAGUUGUGCUAGUCAUUCAAUUUGGAUUGCUGGAGCAUUCUAGGUGUAUUCUACUUUGGUUUUCAAUGUCUAAUUUCAAUUGUUUCUGUUUAAUUGCAAGUAUGAGGAACUAAACCUCUUUUGGCUAGAGG